rnacentral:rRNA from 1 species
AACGAACGCUGGCGGCAUGCCUAACACAUGCAAGUCGAACGAGACCUUCGGGUCUAGUGGCGCACGGGUGCGUAACGCGUGGGAACCUGCCCUUAGGUUCGGAAUAACUCCCCGAAAGGGGUGCUAAUACCGGAUAAUGUCUUCGGACCAAAGAUUUAUCGCCUUUGGAUGGGCCCGCGUUGGAUUAGUUAGUUGGUAGGGUAAAAGCCUACCAAGGCGACGAUCCAUAGCUGGUCUGAGAGGAUGAUCAGCCACACUGGGACUGAGACACGGCCCAGACUCCUACGGGAGGCAGCAGUGGGGAAUAUUGGACAACGGGCGAAAGCCUGAUCCAGCAAUGCCGCGUGAGUGAUGAAGGCCUUAGGGUUGUAAAGCUCUUUUACCCGGGAUGAUAAUGACAGUACCGGGAGAAUAAGCUCCGGCUAACUCCGUG